GACGAACGCUGGCGGCGUGCCUAAUACAUGCACGUAGGACGCAGUUGCGAACGGGUGAGUAACGCGUAUGUAACUACCUAUUAGAGGGGGCUAACUCUUUGAAACGAUAGCUAAUACCGCAUACUAGUAGAUUGACCUGCGUUUUAUUAGCUAGUAGGUAGGGGAAUGUCCUACCUAGGCAACGAUACAUAGACGACCUGAGAGGGUGAUAGGCAACACUGGGACGGAGACACGGCCAAGAAUCCGAGGGGAGGCAGCAGUAGGGAAUCUGCGGCAAUGGGGGGAACACUGACCGAGCAACGCGGCGGGAGUGAAGAAGGUUGUCGGAUCGGAAAGCUCUGUUGUUAAGGAAGCGGUACUUAACCAGAAAGGGACGGCUAACUACGUGCCAGCAGCCGCGGUAAUUC
rnacentral:rRNA from 1 species